rnacentral:rRNA from 1 species
UACGUAGGUGGCAAGCGUUGUCCGGAUUUACUGGGCGUAAAGCGCACGUAGGCGGAUCGUUAAGUCGGGGGUGAAAUCCUGGAGCUCAACUCCAGAACUGCCUUCGAUACUGGCGAUCUCGAGUCCGGAAGAGGUGAGUGGAACUCCUAGUGUAGAGGUGGAAUUCGUAGAUAUUAGGAAGAACACCAGUGGCGAAGGCGGCUCACUGGUCCGGUACUGACGCUGAGGUGCGAAAGCGUGGGGAGCAAACAGG